rnacentral:rRNA from 1 species
GACGAACGCUGGCGGCGUGCUUAACACAUGCAAGUCGAACGGAAAGGCCCUUCGGGGUACUCGAGUGGCGAACGGGUGAGUAACACGUGGGUGAUCUGCCCUGCACUUUGGGAUAAGCCUGGGAAACUGGGUCUAAUACCGAAUAUGAUCAUCAGCUUCAUGGUUGGUGGUGGAAAGCUUUUGCGGUGUGGGAUGGGCCCGCGGCCUAUCAGCUUGUUGGUGGGGUAAUGGCCUACCAAGGCGACGACGGGUAGCCGGCCUGAGAGGGUGACCGGCCACACUGGGACUGAGAUACGGCCCAGACUCCUACGGGAGGCAGCAGUGGGGAAUAUUGCACAAUGGGCGCAAGCCUGAUGCAGCGACGCCGCGUGAGGGAUGACGGCCUUCGGGUUGUAAACCUCUUUCAGCACAGACGAAGCGCAAGUGACGGUAUGUGCAGAAGAAGGACCGGCCAACUACGUGCCAGCCGCCGCUGUAAAAC